rnacentral:rRNA from 1 species
GAUGAACGCUGGCGGCGUGCUUAACACAUGCAAGUCGAACGAAGCAUUUGCGACAGAUUUUUUCGGAAUGAAGUUGCUUAUGACUGAGUGGCGGACGGGUGAGUAACGCGUGGGUAACCUGCCUUGUACUGGGGGAUAGCAGCUGGAAACGGCUGGUAAUACCGCAUAAGCGCACAAUGUUGCAUGACAUGGUGUGAAAAACUCCGGUGGUAUAAGAUGGACCCGCGUCUGAUUAGCUAGUUGGUGAGAUAACAGCCCACCAAGGCGACGAUCAGUAGCCGACCUGAGAGGGUGACCGGCCACAUUGGGACUGAGACACGGCACAGACUCCUACGGGAGGCAGCAGUGGGGAAUAUUGCACAAUGGAGGAAACUCUGAUGCAGCGACGCCGCGUGAGUGAAGAAGUAAUUCGUUAUGUAAAGCUCUAUCAGCAGGGAAGAUAGUGACGGUACCUGACUAAGAAGCUCCGGCUAAAUACGUG